UAAUGAGACAAUAAAACUGGCACUUUCUAUUUAAUUGCAAAAAGCACCCUUCUUAUUGCUGUUACUUAAAUAUUGUCUGUCUUUUUCAGAAUAUGGACCCUGCCUUUGUGUACUUGAGAUAGUGUUCACCUACAUGUGUCUAUUUUUAUAAAAAGUUUUAUGUCCUAAAAAGACAAUUGAAGGAAAUGCCUUCUUUUUAAAAAUACCUUCUCUGAUGGAUCUUUAAUAAAUGCAGUGAUGAGAAUCUAACCCAGUGUCUCACAUAUUAGGCAAGUUAUUUACCACUGAGCUACAACCCCAGCCUGAGAAAUGCCUUCUUAUUGAAUGGUGGGGGCAUACAUGUCUACUCUCCCAUUCCUCCCUACUCUUCCCUGAGAAUACUUAGAGAAUUCAUUUUGGAAGGCCAGUAUUCAGAUAGGCAUAUAAGAAAAAGAACAACAACAACAACAAAAAAACAAAACUGAAAGAAGAUUAUUGGCAUAAAAUUUCCCAGAACUGAACUGAAGGACAUGUAUCUGUAAAUUUUAUUUAUUUAUUAUUAUUAUUUUUGUUGGUACCAGGAAUUAAACCCAGGGAUGCUUAGCCAUUGAGCACACAUCCCCAGCUCUUUUUUACAUUUUAUUUAGAAACAGAGUCUCCUUGAGUUGCUUAGAGCCUGGUUAAGUUGCUGAAGCUGGCUUUGAACUCAUAAUCCUCCUGCCUCAGCCUCCCAAGCUGCUGGGAUCACAGGCGUGCACUACCAUGCCCAGUUUAUCUUAAAGGGUCAGCAAUUAUCAGUUCAUUCGAACAAACAAAACCAACCCAAAGAUACAACAUUGUUAAAUUUCAGAACACAUAAAGAGGAAUAAGGCUUCCAGAGGGGGAUACACAGUUGACUAUGAAGAUUAAAGAUUUGAAUGGUGCCAGUCUUCUUAAUACCAACACUGGGAACCAGAAGACAAUGAGGAAAGACAUUCAGAAUGCUUACAAAACAUGAUUUCCUCUCUAGAAUUCUGCACUGAGCCAUUCAGUUAAGUACAGGUAAAUGAAGAUUUUUAAAGACAUAAUGUAGUGAAUAAAACAAAACCUUCCCAUGCUCCCCUUCUCUGAAAGCUACUGGAAAAUACCCCACUAAAAGACAAAACCAAGAAAGAAGUAGAAAUGAGAUUAGGAAACAGGAGAUCCAGUAUAAAAAAGAAUUCCCAGGAUAAGUUAAUGGAAAAUUCCGUGAUCAUAAUUGUACAUCAGGCUUAGAUAUUUAACCAGUCUAGAUUGGAACAUGAUGGAGAGCUUUAGGAAGUAAGAUUUUUUUUUUUUGGUUGUUGUUGUUAUUUUGGUACUAAAGAUUAAACCCAGGGUUGCUUAGCCACUGAGUCACAUUCCCCAGCCCUUUUUAUUUUUAUUUGCUUUAAUUUUGAGACAGG
rnacentral:lncRNA from 1 species